AAAGUAAACUAGGCAAUCGCCGGUGGAGUACCGCAAGGUCCCACGGGAGGAAAGUCCGAGCUCCGCAGGGCAGGGUGCCGGCUAACGGCCGGUGGGGGCAACCCUAAGGCUAGUGCCACAGAAAUGGAGACCGCCGAUGGGAACGAAACCUUUUUCGUUUCACAGGCAAGGAUGCAACGGUGCGGUAAGAGCGCACCAGCAGCAUGGAGACAUGCUGGCUAGGUAAACCCCACCUGGAGCAAGACCUGAAAGGGGAUCGGCGCAUUUGAUGCGCAGCUGUUGCCCGCAGUGAUCCCGGGUUGGUCGCUGGAGCGACGCAGCAAUGCGUCGCCUAGAUAGAUGAUUGCCACUCCAAGGGUGGGAGGUGACAAACGUCACCGCUGUACCACUGGGAGGACAGAACUCGGCUUAUGGUUUGCUUUCCUG
rnacentral:RNase_P_RNA from 1 species